rnacentral:rRNA from 1 species
AGCAGCCGCGGUAAUUCCAGCUCCAAUAGCGUAUAUUAAAGUUGUUGCAGUUAAAAAGCUCAUAGUUGAAUUUCGGGAUUGGCGUGUCGGUCGUGCCUUACGGGGUAUGAACUGGCAUCGUUGAUUCUCACCUUCUGGAGAAUCACGAUGCCCUUAAUUGGGUGUCGUGUGGAUCCAGGACCUUUACCUUGAAAAAAUUAGAGUGUUUAAAGCAGGCAUAUUGCUCGAAUACAUUAGCAUGGAAUAAUAAAAUAGGACGGCUUGGUUCUAUUUUGUUGGUUUCUAGGAUCACCGUAAUGAUUAAUAGGGAUAGUUGGGGGCAUUAGUAUUCAAUUGUCAGAGGUGAAAUUCUUGGAUUUAUUGAAGACUAACUACUGCGAAAGCAUUUGCCAAGGAUGUUUUCAUUAAUCAAGAACGAAAGUUAGGGGAUCGAAGACGAUCAGAUACCGUCGUAGUCUUAACCAUAAACUAUGCCGACUAGGAAUCAGACGAUGUUAAUUUUUUAAUGUACUCGUUUGG